UACGUAGGGUGCAAGCGUUGUCCGGAAUUAUUGGGCGUAAAGAGCUCGUAGGCGGUCUGUCACGUCGGCUGUGAAAUCCCGAGGCUCAACCUCGGGUCUGCAGUCGAUACGGGCAAACUAGAGUAUUGCAGGGGAGACUGGAAUUCCUGGUGUAGCGGUGAAAUGCGCAGAUAUCAGGAGGAACACCGGUGGCGAAGGCGGCAUCCUGGACCGGUAUUGACGCUGAGGCGCGAAAGCGUGGGGAGCGAACAGG
rnacentral:rRNA from 1 species